CCGACGGUGAGAGGUGAAAGCCAGGGGAGCGAACGGGAUUAGAUACCCCGGUAGUCCUGGCCGUAAACGAUGCGUGUUAGGUGUUGGUAGGGCUCUGAGCCGUAUCAGUGCCGUAGGGAAACUGUUAAACGCGCCGCCUGGGAAGUACGCUCGCAAGGGUGAAACUUAAAGGAAUUGGCGGGGGAGCACCACAAGGGGUGAAGCCUGCGGUUCAAUUGGACUCAACGCCGGGAAACUUACCGGGGGC
rnacentral:rRNA from 1 species